AUUGAACGCUGGCGGCAGGCUUAACACAUGCAAGUCGAACGAGUGGCGGACGGGUGAGUAAUGCUUGGGAAUCUAGCUUAUGGAGGGGGAUAACUACGGGAAACUGUAGCUAAUACCGCGUACCAUAGGAUAGGCCCAAGUGGGAUUAGGUAGUUGGUGAGGUAAAGGGUCACAAAGCCGACGAUCUCUAGCUGGUCUGAGAGGCUGACCAGCCACACUGGGACUGAGACACGGCCCAGACGCCUACGGGAGGCAGCAUGGGGGAAUAUUGCGCAAUGGGGGCAACCUGACGCAGCCAGGCCGCGUGAAUGAAGAAGGCUUUCGGGUUGUAAAGUGCUUUCGGUAGCGAGGCGUUAACUACAGAAGAAGCACCGGAUAACUACGUGCCAGCAGCCGCGGUAAUAC
rnacentral:rRNA from 1 species